rnacentral:rRNA from 1 species
AUUGAUUUUAUGCUUGCAUAAAUGAUUUUUGGAUUCGGAGCGAGUGGCGAACUGGUGAGUAACACGUGGGUAACCUGCCCCGAAGCGGGGGAUAACAUUUGGAAACAAGUGCUAAUACCGCAUAAUUAGUUGGAACCGCAUGGUUCCAACUUGAAAGAUGGCUCUGCUAUCACUUUGGGAUGGACCCGCGCCGUAUUAGUUAGUUGGUGAGAUAAAAGCCCACCAAGACGAUGAUACGUAGCCGACCUGAGAGGGUAAUCGGCCACAUUGGGACUGAGACACGGCCCAGACUCCUACGGGAGGCAGCAGUAGGGAAUCUUCCACAAUGGACGAAAGUCUGAUGGAGCAACGCCGCGUGAGUGAUGAAGGUUUUCGGAUCGUAAAACUCUGUUGUUAAAGAAGAACAAGUGUUAGAGUAACUGUUAACACUUUGACGGUAUUUAACCAGAAAGCCACGGCUAACUACGUGCCAGCAGCCGCGGUAAUACGUAGGUGGCAAGCGUUGUCCGGAUUUAUUGGGCGUAAAGCGAGCGCAGGCGGUUUUGUAAGUCUGCUGUGAAAGCCCUCAGCUCAACUGAGGAAGUGCAGUGGAAACUACAAAACUUGAGUACAGAAGAGGAAAGUGGAACUCCAUGUGUAGCGGUGAAAUGCGUAGAUAUAUGGAAGAACAUCAGUGGCGAAGGCGGCUUUCUGGUCUGUUACUGACGCUGAGGCUCGAAAGCAUGGGUAGCGAACAGGAUUAGAUACCCUGGUAGUCCAUGCCGUAAACGAUGAAUACUAGGUGUUGGAGGGUUUCCGCCCUUCAGUGCCGCAGCUAACGCAUUAAGUAUUCCGCCUGGGGAGUACGACCGCAAGGUUGAAACUCAAAGGAAUUGACGGGGGCCCGCACAAGUGGUGGAGCAUGUGGUUUAAUUCGAUGCUACGCGAAGAACCUUACCAGCUCUUGACAUCUUCUGCCAACCCAAGAGAUUGGGCGUUUCCUUCGGGGACAGAAUGACAGGUGGUGCAUGGUUGUCGUCAGCUCGUGUCGUGAGGUGUUGGGUUAAGUCCCGCAACGAGCGCAACCCUUAUUAUUAGUUGCCAGCAUUUAGUUGGGCACUCUAGUGAGACUGCCGGUGAUAAA